AACGCGAAGAACCUUACCUGGGUUUGAAAUUCAGCUGUAUUGCAUAGAGAUAUGCAAGCCUCGCAAGAGGCAGUUGGACAGGUGCUGCAUGGCUGUCGUCAGCUCGUGCCGUGAGGUGUUGGGUUAAGUCCCGCAACGAGCGCAACCCUUAUUCUUAGUUGCCAUCAGGUAAAGCUGGGCACUCUGGGGAGACUGCCGGCAUAAGUCGGAGGAAGGUGGGGAUGACGUCAAGUCAGCAUGGCCCUUACAUCCAGGGCUACACACGUGCUACAAUGGCCGAUACAAAGGGCUGCUAAGCCGCGAGGUGGAGCGAAUCCCAUAAAGUCGGUCUCAGUUCGGAUUGUAGGCUGCAACUCGCCUGCAUGAAGUCGGAAUCACUAGUAACCGCAGAUCAGCCACGCUGUGGUGAAUACGUUCCCGGGCCUUGUACACACCGAGUAUA
rnacentral:rRNA from 1 species